AUCCAGCUGUUGAGUCUCAAAUAGGACGAAAUGCGCGUCCUGGAU
rnacentral:hammerhead_ribozyme from 1 species